CAUUUAUAAAUUCGGGCCUCAGCCAUCAUGGACACAAACAGACACAGAAAGGGACAUGCAAGACGCUGCAGCCAUUUAAUGGACAGGAUGACAUUGAGCUCUCUGCUGUUUGAAGUUGAAAGCACAGCUGGUGGCAAUUUUUCUCUGAAUUUGGAGGUUGUGGAGCAAACGGGAAAUUUCAUGCUGCAAACCAUGGUGGAGGCCAACUGAACUUUAGGAACUCACGUGCUUGGAGACGGGGACAAGUUCUCUGGCGACCAUGCAACUGAGUGCAAUCACCCUAAAGAGAAGCAUUUAGAAGCCAUAAAACCUAAAUGCCCUGCCAUGCAUCAUUACAUCUCACAG